UACAGAGGGGGCGAGCGUUAUUCGGAAUUAUUGGGCGUAAAGGGCGCGUAGGCGGCACUGUUAGUCAGGCGUGAAAAGUCCUGGGCUCAACCUGGGAACUGCGCUUGAUACGGCAGAGCUAGAGGAUGGAAGAGGGUCGCGGAAUUCCCAGUGUAGAGGUGAAAAUUCGUAGAUAUUGGGGAAGAACACCGGUGGCGAAGGCGGCGACCUGGUCCAUUACUGACGCUAGGCGCGACAGCGUGGGGGAGCAAACAGG
rnacentral:rRNA from 1 species